CUCAUGAAAAUUUGACGAGAAGAAUCCAGCAAACUUUUCUCUGGCUCCGGUGAUCCUAAUUAGCUCAAGAACAAUCAAUCACCACCAUCAACAACAAUCGAUCACUGCAAUUCGAUAAAAUCCACAAUUGACGCAGAUUUCCUUUCCGAAACCUAAUUUUGGGUUUAAAAAAUUAAUUCUUUUUUCUCAUCUUUUCUCUUCAAUAUCAAUCUCAAACUCUAUGCAGCCGAACAUACCCUGAUUUUGGAGGGUAUUCAUUCAAUCUUAUUAUUUCCAUGAUGUUGUAGUUUUUUUCAAGGAGGAUUCAUUCAUCUAGAGCUGCUGCUGGUGUUUAAAUUAGAGGUAGAAUCAAUUGCAACUCAGAUGCUGAAAGUCAACUCGAUUCUUACGUUGGUUUCGGCCUUGAAUGCAGGUAGAAGCAAUAUGAGGUUGGUUUCGGCCUCUGUAAGAUUCUGUCUACAGAGUCUGUUAUGAGAGGUUCGUGAAGCGUGGAUUGUUUCGAGAAAUUGGAGCGGAUUGGUAAAGGCACGAAUGGGCAAGUCUAUUCUUUUUUGUUAGUAUUGUUAUGAACUGACAAGGUGUUUGAGUAAGUGCCAUAGCUUAAGAUUUUAUUGCAAUAGAUUUCGAAAUUCAGACCUCUUGAAGAGACAAAGAUUGAUAAAAAUAAUCAGCGAACCGUAUAAAACUAAACUGAUAAAAUCAAAUAGAAAUUAGAGAAAUCUAUAGGUGUUCAAAGUGUUUCAGCGAGUAGAGGAAAAGGAUAGCAGAGGUAGGUAAGAAGAAAGAUGAAAACUUGGUUAGUAAACACGAAUUCUAGGGCCUGCUCAUUAAUUUUUAGCUUUUCUCCUGUUCUUUAUUCUUUGUUCUUCCAUUUAAUCUCACUAUUACUUUAACAUCAAUCGGUAGGUACGUCCGGAUAUUCAGAGAUGUGAUGCUUGGAGGUUUGAUUGGGAAAAUGGUUUUAAAGUAAUGGCUGUAGCAGCACCAUGAUAGUUUAAUUUUGUUGUGGCGUACGAGAAAUUGGAGCAGAUUGGUGAAGGCACAAAUGGAAAAAACAUAGGAUUUCAAGCUUAUCGUUCAGGUUUAUAGUUGAGCUUUAAAUCCAGAUCUCGCAGAUGGACAAUGAAUACCAACGGAAGAGGUGCUUCUUCGAUUAAUAUAUAUUUUUAACAUAUAUUUCGUAUUAUCACUCAAAAGUCUCAGAAGUGCUCAUUUGCACAUUUAACAUUCUUUGCCGUAUUCACUUCGUCCCCUUUUUUAUAUUAGGAUUCAAUGCUCCAGCAGUAUUGGGUUUUAAUUACACCAUCAGUUGUUUUUAUAUGCUACAAAAGGUGUCUAAUAUGAAACUGGAAACCAGUUAUGGACUUCGUGUUAUCUUCUAUGAAAUAUUAGGGACUUCAUUGAAGGGUUUGAAGCAAGAAACUACAGUAAAGAUGGGUUGCUGCAGAGCAGAGUUGAGCUGAAAGUUGAUUAAUGGUGGACAAGUUGUGGUUCGACUUUGAGGAAUCAAUGCUGUUGUGAUACUGUGAUGCUUGUAGUUGCAGGAAAUCCUACACUACACCCUCACAAGAUUUCAUUAACAUUCAACUCAUUUUAGAUUAAUAAUCUUAAUUUUAUUGAUAAAUCUUUGAAAAAUCUUACAAGAAAAGAUAAAGGA